UACGAUUGAGCAUACGAUGUGCAGAAAUUUUUGGAAUUUUAGGAAUCGGUUUAAUUCCGAUAAUUGUAA
rnacentral:tRNA from 1 species